CUUCCUCCCACCCGAGUAGUGCCAUUACAUAAGGCCGUUCAUGGGCCUGCCUGGCCAUAUAAUUUGGUCAUCACAGAGUACGACUUUCCCGACCCUGACUUUACUGCAAGUGCCGCAGCCAUUCGGUCUCUAGCGUCAACACUUAAUCACGAGUCGCGCAAGGAUGGCGUCCAAAACCUCCACGAUAACCUUUUCCGGUGGGUCCGCAGUACCAUCUGCCACCUAUGUGCUACGUCACUUCCGUCUGCUUGGAUCAGGGUGCCUUCUGGUCAGCUCGCAGCCACUGGAGACGUCUUUGGAACCCUUAACCUCGAGUCAAGGUGGACAAACUCUAAUGAGCUUCAGCGUAGUAAGGACAUUUUUACCAAGAUAAUUUCCGCAUGGGAGAGUGACUCCGUUGGCAUCAAAGGUGGCGCACCCCACUGGGGGAAACUACUGGACAUCUACCCCGACCUCCGACACAGGGCCAGAAACAUCUACGGCGACGACCUGAGGGUCUUCUUAAAUAUCAGAAAAUCGCUUGACCCUUACGGCGUGUUUACUAAUUCAUUUUUAAGAAGAGUUUUGGGGAUUUACGUUGCCAGGUUCUGACGUGCUUUCUUGUUAAUGUUUCGUAAGUAAGAUGUAAACACAAAACUUCGUUCCGUAUUGUGCGUUUUACUGACUGGCCAUUGAAGGCAAUGCUGCGCAUUUAAAUAUUUAGUCUGGUAAUUGUGAUUUGUAUUGAUGUAUGAGAUAAGAAAAAUCUCUUUCCUUUUUAAGAUGCAAACAUCGCAAAAACGAAGUCUCGUCUUUAAACUCAUUUUAGGAUUUAAACCAUGUGUUAUUGCUUUGGUAUUAGUAACAUUUAAUCACUUCCCGUUACUACAUUUUGUAAUCAAGAUCGAUUAAA